AAAGAAAAAAAAAAAGAACAUAUAUUAAUAUAUUCAGUUCAUCAAAACAGUCCCUGAAUACACCUCUGUGCAGAACUUGUGCGAGCCUCUGGGGACCCAGGGCUGGUCAGGCUGGCUGGGCAGAAGGGGAUGAAAACAUUGCCUUAUACACACUUGUAGAAUAUGUCGCAAUGGGAGAAAUCUUCCCAUAGCUUCUCAUGAGUCCAGUGAAUUAGGCAGGGCAGGUAUCAUUGUCCCUAUUUUACAGAUCAGGAAAUUGAGGUCCAGUGAGGUGUCUUGGCCAGGACACUCAGUCAGGACGUGACAUGAACACAGGACUGUCUGACUUCAAAUCCAGUGCUCCUUCCCCUGCAGUCCCCACCCCACUGACUGGGGGACAGUGCUCCAGGCAGCUGGAAUGGGACACGGUUUGUGUGGCAGCGAGAUAUCCAGGCUCUCCUCCUUCCAGAUCUAAGGCAUGCGGUGUGAACAGGAGCAAUCCCUUCACAGUGUGGAGCCACCGGCUUUGGAGUUGUUUGUGGCUGCAGUGUGUAACCCAGCAUCUCCUGACUGAUGUUAUAGGUUCUGCCGGAGGGGCAAAUGCGGGCAGCAAGGGCUUGCAGCCCUGGAAUUAACAAAUGAGAUUCAAACCCAGGUCUGCUUGACUAGGAAGGCCGGCCCUCUCCAUGGUGCCAGGACAACUCUUUGGAGAAGAUGCCCCUCUCUCUGCCUGCCUGAAUCUUCUCCGUCCACAAAGGCCUGCUCCAUCCUCCCUCCUCCAGGAAGCUUUCCCUGACUGUCCCCGGGCCCAGCCAGGGUGUCUGGGGGGCUGGAGAGACCCACAGAGCCCUGAUCACCGUGGCUGGCCCGUAAGUGUGGCGACUGAGUCCCAGUCUGGAGGCACAGCUGGACUUUCCCAGAGAGAACUGAGGCAUUGUGGGAAUUUCCCAGCUGUGACCCCAGGACCCUGAUUGCCCAGAAUGGCUCCAAGUUCACAUAUCUAGGGACCGUCACCAAGACUCCUGUAUCUAUAUUAAACUCGGUAAAUGUGAUGACCCUGGAAAUGUGCCCUCAGCAUCACAACCGCACUCUUGGCCCCUCCAGAAUUCAGAGCCACUUUGGGAGUCCACC
rnacentral:lncRNA from 10 species